rnacentral:hammerhead_ribozyme from 1 species
AUCCAUCUGACGAGUCUUAAAUAGGACGAAACGCGUGUCCUGGAU